rnacentral:misc_RNA from 1 species
CGGUCUCUUCUAGUUCACAGCACGUAUGAUGAGUUUGAUAAACUUUUGGUGUCAAUGCAUAUUUAUUUUACUGCAAAUGCUGCAUCUUAAUGUUUUUCCUUCUAUUUUCAGACAUUGUUGAAAGUUUUGUCUCAUGUAGUUCUACAUUGAGAGUGCAUUUAUAUCUAUCAGUUAAAUUCUUCUGAGAAUGAUUUUACAAUGUUUGUUUUAUUGUGGAAAGUCAAUAUCUCGUUGUUUUACUUAUCCACCCCAUUGUCUUGACAAUUGAACCUGGAACUCCAGAAGUUUUAUUUAGGACACAGGUUACUAAACUUCCAAACAUUUCAAUUUAGGGUUUUCCAGAAGCACUGCUUGCCCAACUUUUGAAAGUAAUGUUGCAUCCAGAUGUUGGGGUGCGAGUUGGAGGGCACCAGAUAUUUUCAGUGCUUCUCAUUCCUAGCUCUAAUCAUUCCCAGCUCUAAUCAUUCCCGCCAUGGAGUUGUGUCUUUGCAAUCUGGUUAUAUUUGUGAACCAAGAAGA